rnacentral:rRNA from 1 species
CCUACGGGGUGCAGCAGUGGGGAAUAUUGGACAAUGGGGGAAACCCUUAUCCAGCGACGCCGCGUGAGGGAAGAAGGUUUUCGGAUUGUAAACCUCUGUCAGUGGGGACGAUACUGACGGUACUCCCUGAGGAAGCCACGGCUAACUACGUGCCAGCAGCCGCGGUAAUACGUAGGUGGCAAGAGUUGUCCGGAAUUACUGGGUGUAACGGGAGCGUAGGCGGGAUGUCAAGUCAGAAGUGAAAAUUAUGGGCUCAACUCAUAACCUGCUUUUGAAACUGAUAUUCUUGAGUGAAGUAGAGGCAAGCGGAAUUCCUAGUGUAGCGGUGAAAUGCGUAGAUAUUAGGAGGAACACCGAUUGCGAAGGCAGCUUACCAAUCUAUAUCUGACGUUGAGGCACGAAAGCGUGGGGAGCAAACAGGAUUAGAUACCCUUGUAGUC